AAGAGUUGCAAAACUCCCAAACCAUUGUGAACAUACCUUCAACGUUGCUUCGGCGGGUUGGCCCCGGUCUCCGGGGUCCCCGGCCCUACUCGGGCGCCCGCCGGAGGUAUCUAACUCUUGAACUUUUAUGGCCUCUCUGAGUCUUUGUACUUAAUAAGUCAA
rnacentral:misc_RNA from 1 species